rnacentral:lncRNA from 1 species
UGAGAUUAAGCUAUUAGAGAUAGUUUAAAUGAUUAAAAACAGCAUUUAUUAAGCUAAAGUAGAUUUUUUUCCUUAAAUUGUUGAGGAGAGAGAAGGGAAGGAGGAGGAAUAGUCUUGAGUUCUAGAGAAGUUUUAUUUUAUUUCCUACUUUUUUAAAUCAUACAUUGCAGUGACUGGAACUGUGUGUGUUCUCUGCUCUUUACAUAGGAUAGCUUGGGUUGGAAGGGAUCUUAAAGAUAAUCUAGUUCUACCUCCUCUGCUAUAGACUGGCACACUUCCUGCUGUUGCUGUCAUUUCAAGACAGCUGCAAGAAGGACUCAGAAAGUGACAGUGGCCUGGGAUUGGUGCAGGUCUUUGGGGAAUGUAGCUUGCAGGUAAAAGUGGUACUGUGCAUUCAGAAUGUAGCUACAUUAAACAUAAUUUUAAAGCUUUAGAAUGAUACAUCUUUGCCAAGCAGAUUUCACCGAGAAUUAGAAGUGGCAAUGAUGAUAUCAGAAUAUUAAUGAUACUUUGUCUUUAGUUGUAAGGUUAUAGUGAAAUAAUACUUCUAGUCAUGAUUUAUAGAUCCCAAGUACUUCAGUUCUUAUGGAAGACGUGCAAGUUUUGUCAUUUACUGACUUCAUAAAGACAGCCCUUAAAAGAUCGAGGUCAACUUUCUUGUUCUGAUUUUUUUUCAGAGGUGCCAUAGAUGCACAUGUCCUGUCUUCUUUAGAGCUCUUGUGUACAGCUUGACCAAAAUCUGGGCUGAAAGAUACUGAGAAGCAAAGGUGACUGCAUCGAAGGGACAUAACUUCACCUGAAGCUGUGAGAAAUGAGACCUAAGCUUGGGAAAACUACAAAGUUUUGUACAGUUUAUGGAUGCAGCAUGAUCCUGAUUUGGAACAACACAUACAGACUGUCAACCACUUGCUGCUACAAAGUAUGUGCUCAAGUUAAUGUGCGCAAGCACAUGCUAAAUUUACUAUAUGCAUGUAUGUAGACAGAAGCCUACAAAAUUUCUUUUUUUAAUCAUUAAUUACUUUUAAAGGUCUGAUCCUUAACUUGAACUGAGUCAAAUAGCAUUUGAAAACUCUAGUGUACUUUUAAAUUAAUCAUGGACUUUGAAGAUAUUAUGCUUGAUAAUGCUCUAACACAAUUUAAAGUUAUAAUUGAUUUCGUCAGUUUGUGCUAGUGUAGAGGUCAGAGUUCUAUGUCUGCUAUAAUUAUUUGAACAACAACAGCAAAUGUAGCAUGGGGGCAGUUUUGCAGUUUGUUUCAGUGUUUUAAGUCCUCUUAUGUCUCUUUUUUGGUCUAAAAUUACGCUUUCUUAUUAAAAAAAGAAACAGAUCUGGUGCUUUAGAAGGUAAAGUGACUAAUAUUCUUUCUAAGUUUUGUACUGAAAUCUUUUUCAGGAUAUUUAAAAUUCGGAAUACUUAACUAGAUUGCUAUUUUAAGGCCUGUUCCAAAGGCGACUUAUGGUUUCAGUGAGCUACCAUCAGGCCUUAGUGACUCCUGGGAAAAUAAAUGAUCUGUGUGUUUUAAAUAAGAAUAUUAUAAUAUUUCCUGAAAUUUAUCCAAGAACCUAUUUUGAAGAGUUUACAACAGCAGACUUAAUUCAGUGUUCUAAAAGAUAAUUUUCUGUAACGGUUGUAGAUUCACUUAUAGCUAUCAAAUAUAGGAAGAUUUAAAAUGUUUUCUUUUUUAAUUUCAGUUAGUAAGAUUUAUUUCCAAAGAGGAGAUCAGCAGGACUUUUUUCUGAAAGGAUUUAAUUAAAGUUAGCAAGUAAUUUUGUGUUCUGCAGCAUGUUACAUAUUGUGAAAAGGUUAUAGAUUCACCCAGUGCAGUGCAUCAGAAGUAUAGGGGUGAUAGGUGAAGUUCUUUUUGUUGCAAGUGCUGAGAUAUAAUCAUUUAAAAGGUCGCUUGCACUCAAGAAUAGCAUUUAUUUAAUAAGCAACUUGUUUUGGGAUAUGCUGCAUUUUUAAAGGUUAAAACAGUGUCUUACUGACCAAUGUGAUCAGUGAUGAGUUUUUUUUUCUUUAAAAAAUGAUUCUGAAAGUUACUUUAGAUUUGAGUAUUUGUUAAAAUCCUGUGUGAUAUAUCAUCAUUUUGAAGGUUCAAAAUUUGAUAUAAUUAUUAGAACUUAAGAGGUUGGAGAUCUAGCUAGAAUUAAUUUGUUUCAAUUGUUAUGUGCUUUGCUACUGUAGUAAAACUAUAAUAAUUUUAAGUAUGGAAAUACUGGUUACAAUUUAUCACAGUGCACAGUGUGUUGCUGUGUAUGUCGACACUUGUUUUAGAAGGAAAAGUCAGUCAUCCGAAGUGAGGGAAAAAGAUUGAUUUUCGUGUUUUAUAAAGUGAUUUGGGAGUGACAUAGAUUAUGUAGGUAUGAAAGAGAAAAGUGGAUUAUAUUUUAAAUAGUAAUGUGAAAGACCAUAAAAUUAGAAUAGUGUUUCAGAGAACUGAGAAAGAAGAAUUUUAAAACAAUUAUUUAGUUCUUACUAUGUUUUUGCAGGGGAGUUCAUACUCAGUGACAAGUAUGCUCUGUGUUUAGAGAAGUUUUUCCUUUUUCUCUCAAAAGAGUACAAACUGGCAUCAAUUUUCUUUAAGUCUCAGCAUUUUCUACUGACAAUGCUCAAUAGUCCAUAGACAUCAAGGAGGAAAGAGCUUUUAUAACUGCUCUUUGCUGAAUAAGAUGUUAUGGUCAGUUUUCUCCUUGAUCCUUAAACUUGCUAGUAUUGUUAAUAAUUUGCUUUAAAUGUUUUUUUGUUUGUUUGUUUGUUUGGGGUUUUUUUUGUACCAUUUUCCUGGUACAAAUUGUAGAAAUUAUACUAGCUGUGAAAACAAAAGUAUUUUAGUGAGAUGGUGUUGAUCAGUUCUAUCCAUUGAACGUUACUUAUGUGAGUACGAAAAAGAAAAAAGAAAAAACGCAUGAGGAAUUAACAGAAAUGAACGGCUUACAUUUGCUUUGGGAUAAUUUUUACUCAAAUAAAGCCAUCCUCCUUAAUUUGCCUCGCUUUCCAUUUAAAAGAGGGCAAAAUCUAUUUCCUGGGCAAUUUUGCACAGC